CACGUAGGGGGCAAGCGUUGUCCGGAUUUAUUGGGCGUAAAGAGCUCGUAGGUGGUUCGAUAAGUCGGGUGUGAAAACUCUGGGCUCAACUCAGAGACGCCACCCGAUACUGUCGUGACUUGAGUCUGGUAGGGGAGUGUGGAAUUCCCAGUGUAGCGGUGAAAUGCGCAGAUAUUGGGAGGAACACCAGUGGCGAAGGCGGCACUCUGGGCCAGUACUGACACUGAGGAGCGAAAGCGUGGGGAGCGAACAGG
rnacentral:rRNA from 1 species